UUUUUUUUUUUUUUUUUUUUUUUUUUUUUUUUUUUUUUUUUUUUCCU
rnacentral:ribozyme from 1 species